CUUGACCGAGCCGAGGAGCAGGGGGUUGUCGGCCGCGCGGCCCUGGCCGUAGGUGGCCAGCAGCGCCUGGGCCUC
rnacentral:antisense_RNA from 1 species